UACACAUGCAAGUCGAGUGCGCGUGCCGUAGCAAUACGGUAUGGCGCACGGCGCACGGGUGCGUAACACGUGGGCAAUCUGCCCUUCGAUGGGGAAUAACUCCGGGAAACCGAAGCUAAUUCCGCAUAAAAUUCCUUGGACUUCGGUUCGAGGACUCAAAGCCGUAAGGCGUCGAAGGAGGAGCCCGCGCCCGAUUAGCUAGUUGGUGAGGUAACGGCUCACCAAGGCAAUGAUCGGUAGCUGGUCUGAGAGGAUGGCCAGCCACACUGGAACUGAGACACGGUCCAGACUCCUACGGGAGGCAGCAGUGGGGAAUCUUGCGCAAUGGGCGAAAGCCUGACGCAGCGACGCCGCGUGGGGGAUGAAGCAUUUCGGUGUGUAAACCCCUUUCGACUGGGACGAAUACCUCGCAAGAGGGGUGACGGUACCAGUAGAAGAAGCCCCGGCUAACUACGUGCCAGCAGCCGCGGUAAGACGUAGGGGGCCAGCGUUGUUCGGAAUUACUGGGUGUAAAGGGUUCGUAGGCGGUGUGGCAAGUCGGGAGUGAAAUCUAUGGGCUUAACCCAUAGGCUGCUUCCGAAACUGCUGUGCUU
rnacentral:rRNA from 1 species